GGCUCAAUGGUCUAGAGGUAUGAUUCUCGCUUCGGGCCAUUCAAUACUCCCCCCAGCAAAGCUGGGUUCCGCAAGGAAUUUGCGAGAGGUCCCGCGUUCGACUCGCGGUUGAGCCC
rnacentral:tRNA from 1 species